rnacentral:rRNA from 1 species
CCUACGGGUGGCAGCAGUGAGGAAUAUUGGUCAAUGGACGAGAGUCUGAACCAGCCAAGUAGCGUGAAGGAUGACUGCCCUAUGGGUUGUAAACUUCUUUUAUAUGGGAAUAAAAUGUUCCACGUGUGGGAUUUUGUAUGUACCAUAUGAAUAAGGAUCGGCUAACUCCGUGCCAGCAGCCGCGGUAAUACGGAGGAUCCGAGCGUUAUCCGGAUUUAUUGGGUUUAAAGGGAGCGUCGGUGGAUUGUUAAGUCAGUUGUGAAAGUUUGCGGCUCAACCGUAAAAUUGCAGUUGAAACUGGCAGUCUUGAGUACAGUAGAGGUGGGCGGAAUUCGUGGUGUAGCGGUGAAAUGCUUAGAUAUCACGAAGAACUCCGAUUGCGAAGGCAGUUCACUGGACUGCAACUGACACUGAGGCUCGAAAGUGUGGGUAUCAAACAGGAUUAGAUACCCGAGUAGUC